UACGUAGGGUGCGAGCGUUUGUCCGGAAUUAUUGGGCGUAAAGAGCUCGUAGGCGGUCUGUCGCGUCGGAAAUGUGAAAACCCGGGGCUCAACUCCGGGGCUUGCAUUCGAUACGGGCAGACUAGAGUUCGGUAGGGGAGACUGGAAUUCCUGGUGUAGCGGUGAAAUGCGCAGAUAUCAGGAGGAACACCGGUGGCGAAGGCGGGUCUCUGGGCCGAUACUGACGCUGGAGACGCGAAAGCGUGGGUCGCAAACGGG
rnacentral:rRNA from 1 species